GAGAUGGAUGCCUCAUCUACCCCUGGUUGGCUCACAAUACAUAUGAUUAUUCUGUUUGAUAUUUUUUCCUCCUCUCCAAUCAUUGUUGGUCUUCAGCUGUAUGAGGGAUUAAAUCCUGAAAAGUAGCGAAUAGUAUUGCCGAUCAGGCCAGGACCAUGUAAAAGUGUAACAUUCCUUCUCCGAGAACAAAUGGAGUUAAUUCUGCCACAAAAGAAAAGAAUGAACUGAUGAACUCGUUCACACUACCCCUCGCUCUUCAACUGUUGGAGAAAACUUCCUUCUAUCGCUGCUCGCAACACAGCAGAACUUGGUUUAAUUCUGUGCGCUAAAAUUUUGCAAACGAGGCCUAAAAUACUGUUAUGUAGGAUAGACUGUUAUGUAGGAUAGACGGAAUCGUUUCAGUAACUUUCUUGAUCAUCUUUAGAAACUCUUUCAACAACAUUGAUAAAGUCCAGUUUGCCUGCUGAAAUUUCAGAAUCUUGCUCUACUUUACGGAAGGCGCGAAUGUAAAAUCUAUGAAUUGUAAAAAAAGCAAUAAUUGUCAGUUAAGAGUUAAAAUUUGAAUAUGCAUGAUAUGGUCGGUCGAAUAUAAUAUAAUGAAUUGAUCCAAAGCCAGCAGGCUUUUCGCACUGGCCA